rnacentral:lncRNA from 1 species
GAUAGUAUCAUUCGAGUUCAUAGAGACAUUGCAGUCAACCAACCAAGGGAAAACAAGAUUACUCGCGAUAUCAAAAAGGCGAUUCGUCGUUUAAUCAACGGAGAAAUAAGAAUUACACACUUUCUGAGCGCAGUGGCUCAUGGUGUCGAAAACAUUGUCAAUAGGCCACUGCCUCAGAAUGAGUGGUUCCUUCUUGAUAUUGCUGGAGAGGAUGAAGUGAUGUGAGAAGGUUGUCCGUAUCUCCAGAAGAGGUUGUAAAUAUUAGGUGGAUAGGAAAUAUUAUUAGGAUAGAUCUGUAAAUAUUAUAAUGUAUUAAUAUAUAAAUAAAUAAAUUGCAACUUGAAAAUUAUGUAGAAUA